rnacentral:rRNA from 1 species
UACGUAGGGUGCAAGCGUUGUCCGGAAUUAUUGGGCGUAAAGCGCGUGUAGGCGGCUUUGCAAGUCGGGUGUGAAAGCCCUCAGCUCAACUGAGGAAGUGCGCCCGAAACUGCAGAGCUUGAGUGCCGGAGAGGGUGGCGGAAUUCCCCAAGUAGAGGUGAAAUUCGUAGAUAUGGGGAGGAACACCGGUGGCGAAGGCGGCCACCUGGACGGUAACUGACGCUGAGACGCGAAAGCGUGAGGAGCAAACAGG